GUAGGGAAUAUUGGGCAAUGGUCGGAAGACUGACCCAGCCAUGCCGCGUGCAGGAAGACGGCCCUCUGGGUUGUAAACUGCUUUUAUCUGGGAAGAAAAAGGCCAUGCGUGGCAAAUUGCCGGUACCAGAUGAAUAAGCACCGGCUAACUCCGUGCCAGCAGCCGCGGUAAUACGGAGGGUGCAAGCGUUGUCCGGAUUUAUUGGGUUUAAAGGGUGCGUAGGCGGCUGAUUAAGUCAGCGGUGAAAGACUCCGGCUUAACCGGAGCAGUGCCGUUGAUACUGGUUAGCUGGAGUGUUGGAGGGGUACAUGGAAUUGAUGGUGUAGCGGUGAAAUGCAUAGAUACCAUCAGGAACACCGAUAGCGAAGGCAUUGUACUGGCCAACAACUGACGCUGAUGCACGAAAGUGUGGGGAUCGAACAGGAUUAGAUACCCCUGUAGUCC
rnacentral:rRNA from 1 species